GAUGGACGCUAGCGGCAGGCUUAACACAUGCAAGUCGAGGGGUAUGCCGAUUUAUCGGCAGAGACCGGCGCACGGGUGCGUAACGCGUAUGCAAUCUACCUUUCACAGAGGGAUAGCCCAGAGAAAUUUGGAUUAAUACCUCAUAGUAUAGCAGUUUCGCAUGAAACCACUAUUAAAGUCACAACGGUGAAAGAUGAGCAUGCGUCCCAUUAGCUAGUUGGUAAGGUAACGGCUUACCAAGGCUACGAUGGGUAGGGGUCCUGAGAGGGAGAUCCCCCACACUGGUACUGAGACACGGACCAGACUCCUACGGGAGGCAGCAGUNAGGAAUAUUGGACAAUGGGCGCAAGCCUGAUCCAGCCAUGCCGCGUGCAGGAUGACGGUCCUAUGGAUUGUAAACUGCUUUAUACAGGAGAAACACUCCGACGUGUCGGAGUUUGACGGUA
rnacentral:rRNA from 1 species